rnacentral:rRNA from 1 species
UACGUAGGGUGCGAGCGUUAAUCGGAAUUACUGGGCGUAAAGUGUGCGCAGGCGGCGUCGCAAGUCGAGUGUGAAAGCCCCGGGCUUAACUUGGGAAUUGCGCUCGAAACUACGAUGCUGGAGUGUGGCAGAGGAAGGUGGAAUUCCACGUGUAGCGGUGAAAUGCGUAGAGAUGUGGAGGAACACCAAUGGCGAAGGCAGCCUUCUGGGCCAACACUGACGCUCAUGCACGAAAGCGUGGGGAGCAAACAGG